ensembl:lncRNA
GGGACUGGCCAUCUCUUGGAUUUAUGUGAAGUAAGUCAAUAAGAUAGCAACGUUAAAUCUCGUGAAACCACGCGUGAUUUCAUCUCGCGGGCUUUGGAUCGUGGUUUAAAAAAGGCAUCCAUCUCAGUCAAGUCGAGCAGCCAACUCUACGUUUUUGGAGUCAGCUGAUGGAUUGUGGGUUCAAGGUGUUAUGGUAAGAAAGUAUAUUCUAUUUUCGUUUCUGUAACUUAAUUAUAAUAGGUUUUUUAUAAUUAUUAGGUGCAUGCAUACUCACCCUAUUAAUACAACUGAGAAAUCCAAAAUCUGCCAUAGGUUUAACCUGUAUGUAUUGUCAGAAAGGUGAUUACUGGACUCGCAUUAAUGCACACUUGAACUGAAAUGAGGUUGUAACUUGUGGGUUGUUGGGUUGCAAAUCAGAAACAAACAUCUUUGGAUUUUUUUUAAUCCCAUAAGAUCUGGAAACACAGUUUUUAUUCAACAAAACAUUACUGAUUAACCAAGCACAGUGCCUGC